UAGUUGGAUUCUGGUCGAAGCAGCCGCUCUGUUACUAGUUAGCACGCAGCGUGCGCUUCGUCCAUUUUUGUAAAGACUAUGUCUGUCAUUAAGUUGGUGGGCAUAGGACUUGCAUCAUUUACUGUGAGCAAAAUAGAGUGUUCAAAGCAGGCUUAGGCCAUGAAUAUCUUAGCAUGGAAUAAUAAGAUAAGACCUUGGUCUAUUUUGUUGGUUAGCAUUCCGAGGUAAUGAUUAAUAGGGAUAGUUGGGGGUAUUCGUAUUCAAUUGUCAGAGGUGAAAUUCUUGGAUUUAUUGAAGACGAACUACUGCGAAAGCAUUUACCGAGGAUGUUUUCAUUAAUCAAGAACGAAAGUUAGGGGAUCGAAGAUGAUUAGAUACUAUCGUAGUCUUAACCAUAAACUAUGCCGACUAGGGAUUAGUGGACGACUCUAAGUCUUCAUUAGCACCUCAUGAGAAAUCAAAGUCUUUGGGUUCCGGGUGGAGUAUGGUCGCAAGCCC
rnacentral:rRNA from 1 species